rnacentral:rRNA from 1 species
GACGAACGCUGGCGGCGUGCUUAACACAUGCAAGUCGAACGGAAAGGCCCUGCUUUUGUGGGGUGCGCGAGUGGCGAACGGAUGAGUAACACGUGAGUAACCUGACCUUGACUGUGGGAUAACUUCAGGAAACUGGGGCUAAUACCGGAUAGGAGCUCAUGCUGCAUGGUGGGGGUUGGAAAGUUUCGGCGGUUGGGGAUGGACUCGCGGCUUAUCAGCUUGUUGGUGGGGUAGUGGCUUACCAAGGCUUUGACGGGUCGCCGGCCUGAGAGGGUGGCCGGCCAGAUUGGGACUGAGAUACGGCCCAGACUCCUACGGGAGGCAGGAGGGGGGAAGAUUGCACAAUGGGCGGAAGACUGAUGCAGCAACGCCGGGUGCGGGAAGACGGACGUCGGGUUGGAAACCGCUUUCGCCUGUGACGAAGCGUGAGUGACGGUAAUGGGUAAAGAAGCAACGGCUAACUACGUG